UACGGAGGGUGCGAGCGUUGUCCGGAAUCAUUGGGCGUAAAGGGCGCGUAGGUGGCUUCUUAAGCGUGCGGUGAAAGCCUGGGGCUCAACCCCGGGUCGGCCGUGCGAACUGGGGGGCUGGAGCACUGUAGAGGCAGGCGGAAUUCCGGGUGUAGCGGUGGAAUGCGUAGAGAGUCCGGAAGAACACCGGUGGCGAAGGCGGUCUGCUGGGCAGUUGCUGACACUGAGGCGCGACAGCGUGGGAGCAACAGG
rnacentral:rRNA from 1 species